ACGGGUGCGUAACGCGUGGGAAUCUGCCCUUGGGUUCGGAAUAACAGUUAGAAAUGACUGCUAAUACCGGAUGAUGUCUUCGGACCAAAGAUUUAUCGCCCAAGGAUGAGCCCGCGUAAGGUUAGCUAGUUGGUGGGGUAAUGGCCCACCAAGGCGACGAUCUUUAGCUGGUCUGAGAGGAUGAUCAGCCACACUGGGACUGAGACACGGCCCAGACUCCUACGGGAGGCAGCAGUGGGGAAUAUUGGACAAUGGGCGAAAGCCUGAUCCAGCAAUGCCGCGUGAGUGAUGAAGGCCUUAGGGUUGUAAAGCUCUUUUACCAGGGAUGAUAAUGACAGUACCUGGAGAAUAAGCUCCGGCUAACUCCGUGCCAGCAGCCGCGGUAAUACGGAGGGAGCUAGCGUUGUUCGGAAUUACUGGGCGUAAAGCGUACGUAGGCGGUUAUUCAAGUCAGAGGUGAAAGCCCGGGGCUCAACCCCGGAACGGCCUUUGAAACUAGAUAGCUAGAGUCUUGGAGAGGUUAGUGGAAUUCCGAGUGUAGAGGUGAAAUUCGUAGA
rnacentral:rRNA from 1 species